rnacentral:rRNA from 1 species
CCGACACAGGUGGGAAGGUAGAGUAUACCCAGGGGCGCGAGAUAACUCUCUCUAAGGAACUCGGCAAAAUGGCCCCGUAACUUCGGGAGAAGGGGUGCCACCGAGAGGUGGUCGCAGUGAAGAGUCCCAGGCGACUGUUUACCAAAAACACAGGUCUCCGCUAAGUCGCAAGACGAUGUAUGGGGGCUGACGCCUGCCCAGUGCCGGAAGGUUAAGGAAGUUGGUCAGGGAGCAAUCCUGAAGCUAGCGACUGAAGCCCCGGUGAACGGCGGCUGUAACUAUAACGGUCCUAAGGUAGCGAAAUUCCUUGUCGGGUAAGUUCCGACCCGCACGAAAGGCGUAACGAUCUGGGAGCUGUCUCGGAGAGAGGCUCGGCGAAAUAGGAAUGUCUGUGAAGAUACGGACUACCUGCACCCGGACAGAAAGACCCUAUGAAGCUUUACUGUAGCUUGGUAUUGGGUUCGGGCUUUGAUUGCGCAUGAUAGGUGGGAGACUAUGAGAUAGCUCUUGUGGGAGUUAUGGAGUCACUGGUGAGAUACCACUCUAUCAAGGCUAGAAUUCUAACUUUGACCCGUUAUCCGGGCAGAGAACAGUAUCAGGUGGGCAGUUUGACUGGGGCGGUCGCCUCCUAAAUGGUAACGGAGGCGCGCAAAGGUUCCCUCAGGCUGGUUGGAAAUCAGCCAUUGAGUGUAAAGGCAUAAGGGAGCUUGACUGCGAGACUGACAAGUCGAGCAGGUACGAAAGUAGGCCUUAGUGAUCCGACGGUUCCGCGUGGAAGGGCCGUCGCUCAACGGAUAAAAGUUACUCUAGGAUAACAGGCUGAUCUCCCCCAAGAGUUCACAUCGACGGGGAGGUUUGGCACCUCGAUGUCGGCUCAUCGCAACCUGGGGCUGUAGUCGGUCCCAAGGGUUGGGCUGUUCGCCCAUUAAAGCGGUACGUGAGCUGGGUUCAGAACGUCGUGAGACAGUUCGGUCCAUAUCCGGUGCAGGCGUAGGAACAUUGAGAGGAGUCUUCCUUAGUACGAGAGGACCGGGAAGAACGCACCGCUGGUGUACCUGUUAUCGUGCCAACGGUAAACGCAGGGUAGCCAAGUGCGGAGAGGAUAACCGCUGAAAGCAUCUAAGUGGGAAGCCCACCUCAAGAUGAGUGUUCCCAUGGCAAAAGCCAGUAAGGUCACGGGUAGACCACCCGUUAAUAGGCGCUAGAUGGAAGUCCAGCAAUGGAUGUAGUCGAGGCGUACUAACAGACCGAGGGC